CCCACUCGCUUCCCCCCCACUCCCAUCGACUGGAUCUGGAUCGGGGAAUCCCGAUCCCCUCGCCCCUCUCCCUCGCACACCCGUCGCCGCCUGGACGCGCCGGCGACCGGAGCUCCCUCACCGGCCUGCUUCCCCUUCCCCACCGGCCUGCACCCGCUCCGCCUUAUCGUCCCCGACUGCCUCCUCGUCCCCCUUUGUCGCGUGCCCUACUCCCCCUUACAUCGAGACCGACGCAGCUGCUACCCAGUAUGACUACGGUGUUGACGACCCCUCUCUCUUACCAGAGCAACCAGAUGCUGGAGCCCAGGAGCCAGACGCCACUGUUGACGACGACUCCUACUACACCGGAGGUGCCUACUACUAUGUGCUGCCCGCUGACGAUGACCAGGAGUAGUUAGGAGGAUCCCAGGCAGGAGGCCUGCGCCUCUUUCGAUCUGUAUCCCAGUUUUUGCUAGCCUUCUUAAGGCAAACUUGUUUAACUUAUGUUUGUACUCAGAUAUUGUUGCUUCCGCUGACUCGUCUAUGAUCGAGCUCUUGUAUUCGAGCCCUCAAGGCCCCUGGCUUGUAAUAUGAUGCUUGUAUG
rnacentral:rRNA from 1 species